CGAGAAUUAUGUCAAUCAAUUAUUGAUUGUAGACUCCGUGAUCAAAAGACAGUGCGGGGCUCGCGUACACUUCGUUUUUGGAAACUAAGGCCUGGUUAUUCUACCAUUUCUCCUACAAAUACGCUAUGCAGCAGGAUGUGCUGAGUCCCAAUUGGCUAUCGCAGAAACAACGAGUAGCAGCAGCGAUUUCUCCACUACCGGCUGAGAGGAUUAUGGAGAUUCAACUGCGCAGGAAGCAGGACAAAGUCCGAAGGAUGGAGACCAAAUUGAGACUGGCGCAAGAGGUAUACGAGCGGUAUGAACAACAAACGCAGAAUACGGCCUACUACGACGAUAGUUCGAGUUCGAGUACGGCUGCCACGAUGAAAACAACAAAUGGAAGGUUUACGUGGCGCCAAGGAACGAUAUUUCAGGUGACAUGGUGGUUUGGUCGUUUCGAGUAAUAUAGAUCCGUUGAUCAGUCAGUGGAACUGAAGGGCUUCAGUUUCAAGUAUUUACUCGAGCCACUGAAGACCUGCUGAAGACGGAUUACUGUUAACCAAUCUAAAAGUGACAGUUUUUAAUGGAAAUAGGACAUAACUUUGCUGUCAUAUAAUUUAUCCCACACGACACCAUACCAUUUCUGCCCUUCCGGCCCCUCCUUAUAUUAUAAUAUAAGCUUUCUCGCGAGAAGAAAUCCUAUAGGACCUAUAUAAUGCUAUACCGGCGUUGAAGCAUUUCUGUAGCUCGAGGACCCAAAGAUACACCGCCACCGAGUUGGAUUGGAACCUACGGAGAACGGAUUCAAAAGUGUCACCGGUAGAAAGCGGAGCAGUAUACAACCUGUCCUAUAGGAUAUGUUUUAAGGAGUAUGAACAUAAACCUUCUGCGUAAUCUUGGCGGAGGACUAGCUGA